rnacentral:lncRNA from 1 species
UUUUAAUCGGUAGACACCAUUCGAUACCGGUGCGGAUACCAAAAUGCUCAUCCCCAUAACCACAACCUUAAUCAAAAUCGUAGAAAUCAGAUUCUUCGAAACCGUGAGGAUCGGAACCAGAGAUUGAGAGGGUUUACGAGGAUGGCGAAAUCUUGCAAGGGGCUAGCUAUGGAGCUCGUCAAGUGUCUCAGCGAAUCUGAUUGUGUCAAGUUGUUCCAUUAGAGCAUAUACAACAUGCUUAUUUGAAUUGAUGCUAUAGAUUUAGGUCACAAGAAAUCAGUAGCACUUGACAAAGAGCACACAAUACUCACUUAAAUAAAUUCAUGUGUAAAACUAAUGGCUGCAGUUUAAUGAAUGGAGUGAUACAGUAUCAUGCAGCAGUUUAUGUAUAGAUUAUGUAUCUUUUUUUAUAGGUGUGUAAGCGUGAUAACGAACCUUUUAUAUGAGUGGAAACUUGUUGAGGCAGGAAGUAUUGCAAAGUGCAGUUAAUGUUGGACAUACCCUAAUCUUUGCUAUAAGCGUUGCCGCAGUUAGAUCUCAUGUGGUCGGGUUCUCGUUUUAGAAACGUGUGAGGCGCUAAGGAAUGUUUAUUAGGGGCAAAAAGGCGCACCUCAUGCAGUUCUGGGUUAAAACUGGUCAAAAUUAGGGUCCAUAGGAGGUGGCGACGGUCGAGCUACAGAAACCGCAGCUGCGAUUAGCUGCUGAUGUUAAGCGGCUGCAUUCGCAAACAGAACAUAUCCAACACGCGCAUACACAGAAAAAAUCAGAACACAUGAGUAUACGUGGUUUGGCGUUAACUGACCUACGUCCACGGCUGUACCAAUGAGUAUUAUUUCUUUAAGGUGUAAAUUCACAAAUUACGUAAGAGAUAUAUUUAUAGGCUAAACUAAAUAAGGCUGGCUACCCUAACUGGCUUAAACACAGCGGGCUGCCUUAGGGCCGAAGAAAUACCGGGCUGGAUGCUCCUAAACGGCCUCUACACUUGACAGAUAAUAUGUAAAAACAACCCCAAGGAUGACGAUAUUAUGAACUUGGUUUUAAAAAGCGCGAAGCGCACAAAAGCGACGAGGUCUAAAACCAUGGCGCAAAGCGCAAAAGUUGUGGGCUUUUCGUACCCGAGGCGCAAGACGGUUAUAUAAAUAUAAUAUUUAUUUAUGUAUCCUAUAGGUUUUUAGCUUGCCCUACCCAAAAUAUAGCUAUAACUAAGGCUUUUAUAUUAUUUUACCUACAUGUACAAGAGGCGCGCUCCUCAGCCUCGAAAUUACCAAAGAGCCCAAAGGCGCUGAGGUCUGUACCUUAGUGCGCCUUGCGCAUGCUUUUUAAAACCCAGAUUAUGAAAGGUUACUUGAUAAAUAGGUUUACUUGUAAAACAUAUGAGAGACAUGCAACUUCUGGUUGUAAAUAAACCUUAUUUGGUUGUACAUAGAGUCAUAGACGUGCACCUCACGGCUCGCGCCUCGGCUUUAGGGACCAAAACGACGCCUCGCGCUGUUCUAAACUAGGGUUGAGUUUGGGAUAUCUUUUUUUUGACUGAUUCUUUUGAAAGUGUACCAUCUGAACCUUGACAUACCUGAGAGAUAUGGUACUUCUAACUUUUCCUGUACAUGACUUGUUAUCCAGAAACUUCCAAAGAUGAAUAUUUGUUCUCAAACCAAAUAUACAUUUUUGUCUUCAUUUCACAUGUGAAGGUCAUAAUGAGAAGUGAACAGAGGUGGCAAAGUGGGUAGGUCAAGUAGGUUGGGUAAUGGGUCAAAAACUCAAAAUUGGUUCGGGCUGAAACAAGUUUUUGUGUGCAUCGGGCUGGUUGACCACUUGACCCACAAACAUUUUUUGUUCGAUUUUAAAUUUUUAAUAUAGACUUUAUGUUGAUCUUAGUAAUUGGUCUUUUGGCUAGCCUGCUCCAACUGAUUUGAGAUAAAAUACUAUUAUUUCGGUUGAUUAUUGGUCUUUUAAAGUGCAUUUCGGUAAUCUGUUUUGCAGGUUGAAAAUCGUUCUUUUAGAGAGUGCGCUAAAGAGAAGAGCCCCUUAAUUACUAGUGAAUGUGUUGGACUUAGAGAAACAUAUUUCAAUUGCAAGCGAGGCCAGGUUGACAUGAGAGCAAGGAUUCGAGGGAAUAAAGGUUACUAAUCAGACGUUUUUGUAGCAUGACUCGAGAUAACUCGAUAGAUGUUUUUGCACACAAACUAGAGAUUGCAGAUGAUAAUGUUAAGGGAUUCUUGAUUUCUUGUAAUAGGAUCGAGUAGUUUUUGUAAUGGGAUUGGAUUCUUCAUAUACAAUAAAUGUAUAUACAUUUUAAAACUUUGCAUAAGAAAUGUCGCAAUUUU